UAUUUAUUUUAUUAUAUUUAUUUUUUGUUUAUUUAAUUAUUUAAUAAAAAUAAUUUUGUUGAAUUUUGUCUUAGUAUAUUUUGUAGAAUUGAUUUUUUAUAUUAUAGUUUAUUGGUAAUGUAAUUGUUUUAUGAAAUAUUAUUUUAAAUUUUUAAAAGUAGAUUUUAUUUAUUGUACCUUUUGUAUCAGGGUUUAUCAAAAUUUUAGUAUUUACUUUACUUGUCUCGAUUUGGGUUGAUUUAUAAAUAAUUUAUAGUUAAUGUAUCAUAAUUCUUAUUAAAUUAUUUAUAGAAAUGAGAUGUUAACCGUUUCCCAAGAUAUCUAGUUUCUUAAGAAAAAAUUUAAUUUUUUAAAGUUAAUAGUUUUUAUUUAAUUUUUUAAGUAUAAAUAUUAACUUAUUUAUUCUUUAAGGGAUAAGCUUUGAAGUUAAUACCCUAUAAUUUGUUUUAAUAAAAUAUAAUAGUAAGCUUUAAACCAGCUAUCUUUAAGAUAACGUUUUAGUUCAUUAUUUUUAUUUUUGAUUUUAUAACUAUUUUAGGUUUUUUAUUAAGAUUAUAAAUUUAGUUUUUAAAUUUUUGUAAUAACGGAAGAAUUGAUAUAUUUAUUUGUAGAUAAUUUUUACCCGGUGAAUUUAUUAUAAGGAACUAGGC
rnacentral:rRNA from 1 species